CGUCAUCCUCAUCAUAAGCAAAGGCUUGUGAAACUGAAUGAACUCAACGACUCGACUUUCUUUCACGAAGUAUGAAUCAGACUUGUGGGAGACUGAGGAUUUCAUACAGAGCCCUGCCUCAAUAGCACUGCUGUUGAUCUGAUGAUACGUUGUAUCUACAAGCUGUGGAGAAAAGUUCCGUUUGCAGGGAGAAUUGUACGGCAAGAAGUAUAUAUGAAAUUGAAGAAGAUUACACUCAUAGAUGGUGCCAGUGUACGGAGCUGGUAUUGGACACUAGUCACUAUCAAAGAAUGCUGCCCGCACACUGCGCA